UUCUUUAAAUCGCGGGGAAAGAGCUUCAAAAGUUUCGCUAAGCCCGACCAGUGUAUAUAAAUAUAUAUAUAUAUAUGUAUAUGUACAAAGUGUGAGAGAGAGAGAGAGAGAGUCAAAACAUUGUACAAGAACGCAGGUGAUGUACUUUGAAGAGAUACAAUGUUCACGAUUUUCUAGGAAAAAAAAAUUAAAAAAGUAAAGUGUAUUAAAAAAAAAAAAAUAAAUAAAUAAAUAAAAAAAAACUAAAACGGCUAUAAAAUAACCUAUAAAGUUUUCGGCCCUCCGUCGUCCGUCCGCACGUUCCGUCCGAAUAUUUGAACCUGCAAUUUCCAUUAUUGUACAUUCAUAUAUUCGGCAUAGUUCGACGUGGAAUGAUUUCUCUAUGUGCAAUUAAAACAAUAUAAUAAUAUUAUUAAUUAUAACAGUUUUUAGGGCUGACGUUGGCCCGGUGAACCGAUGAUUUUAGACGUUUUCGUGACUACCGAAUUAAAAUUCGAAAGCGCGCGCAUUAAUUAACCGAACCGUUUUUUACGUUCUCAUCGCUGUCUACGUCAAUGGUUCGACAGUAUACACUUACGUUAAGUAUACGCGUAGUAGAUCUACAAUGAUUAAACGAAUGUUCGAAUUUCGUCUAAUAUAUGGGAAUGUAAACGUACUUUUCGGUUCAAGAUACGUGAUUAACAUAAUAGUUUUUUAAUAUUUUAAUUGGCAUCUAACCGGUAACCGUAAGCCGGUUAAGGUUCCAAUGUUAUCGAAACCACCGGCGUGAAAUCGGUAUAAUAUAAUCAAAAAAUUACGUAGCGUGCGCGUUUUGCGUUAUUGUGACGGUAGUUUUUCGGCGGACGAGAUACUGUUUUUCGAUAUUUAUCUAUAAGCGAGGGUCAAAAACAGACGAAAUUUAUGCGUUACAACAUAUGUAUGUGUGUCGCG